GUUGGGAACGUCAUCGGUUCAAGGCGAGAUGAGAAGGUGCUUCCCUUCGAACAUAGGAAAAGAAAGCACUAUUUGAAAUGAAUUCGACACCACUUGUCCACCCAACGUCAUUGCGUGACGUGGAGUAUUGCUGACUGGCGUCUCUAGCGUGAAACUACAAAUGUCGAAGAUGGACCACAACAAGCGCCAUUUUAUGGAAAGUUGGAGUAAGGGCACAAGGGCUAAGGAAGCUACUUGUAUAUGUGUGUAUUCAGAUCGAAUAAAUGGACGUCGGAGUGCCCGAGUCCAGACACAUCGUGGGUCACGUCAUUCAUAAUUAGAAAGAAACACAACGCAGAACGAACCGGUCACAUAUAUAUAUUUAUUUAUUUUUAAAAUGACAUUAAUUUGUGUCUGAACGCAUCUUAAUUCCAUAUUUUUUUCAGUUCUUACAACAUAAUUCCAGAGGCCCCAGGGCCCACCAAUAUGCCGGCGCUGGCCCCCGGUGACAUCAUCAGCGAAUUUUGAAUCGUUGGCCGUAGUGACAGAGUUGAUAGAUAAGUGAACUACUAUGGCCACUGCCUUCACAUCACCUAGCGAUCCUGUUUCUGAUCUCCUUUGUUUGCCUUUUUCAAAGCGAUCGUUUGGAGAGAAGACAGAUUUAAUUUCAAGAGGAAGACCUACAUCGAAGC
ensembl:lncRNA